rnacentral:misc_RNA from 1 species
UUUCCGUAGGUGAACCUGCGGAAGGAUCAUUACAGAGUUCAUGCCCUCACGGGUAGAUCUCCCACCCUUGAAUAUUUAUACCUUAGUUGCUUUGGCAGGCCGUGGAAGCACCAUGGGCUCCGGCUUAUGCGUGCCUGCCAGAGGAAACAAACUCUGUUUUUAGUGAUGUCUGAGUACUAUAUAAUAGUUAAAACUUUCAACAACGGAUCUCUUGGUUCUGACAUCGAUGAAGAACGCAGC